GGAUCAUUACACAAAUAUGAAGGCGGGCUGGAACCUCUCGGGGUUACAGCCUUGCUGAAUUAUUCACCCUUGUCUUUUGCGUACUUCUUGUUUCCUUGGUGGGUUCGCCCACCACUAGGACAAACAUAAACCUUUUGUAAUUGCAAUCAGCGUCAGUAACAAAUUAAUAAUUACAACUUUCAACAACGGAUCUCUUGGUUCUGGCAUCGAUGAAGAACGCAGCGAAAUGCGAUAAGUAGUGUGAAUUGCAGAAUUCAGUGAAUCAUCGAAUCUUUGAACGCACAUUGCGCCCUUUGGUAUUCCAAAGGGCAUGCCUGUUCGAGCGUCAUUUGUACCCUCAAGCUUUGCUUGGUGUUGGGCGUCUUGUCUCUAGCUUUGCUGGAGACUCGCCUUAAAGUAAUUGGCAGCCGGCCUACUGGUUUCGGAGCGCAGCACAAGUCGCACUCUCUAUCAGCAAAGGUCUAGCAUCCAUUAAGCCUUUUUUUCAACUUUUGACCUCGGAUCAGGUAGGGAUACCCGCUGAACUUAAGCAUAUCAAUAAGCGGAGGAAAAGAAACCAACAGGGAUUGCCCUAGUAACGGCGAGUGAAGCGGCAACAGCUCAAAUUUGAAAUCUGGCUCUUUUAGAGUCCGAGUUGUAAUUUGCAGAGGGCGCUUUGGCUUUGGCAGCGGUCCAAGUUCCUUGGAACAGGACGUCACAGAGGGUGAGAAUCCCGUACGUGGUCGCUGGCUAUUGCCGUGUAAAGCCCCUUCGACGAGUCGAGUUGUUUGGGAAUGCAGCUCUAAAUGGGAGGUACAUUUCUUCUAAAGCUAAAUAUUGGCCAGAGACCGAUAGCGCACAAGUAGAGUGAUCGAAAGAUGAAAAGCACUUUGGAAAGAGAGUCAAACAGCACGUGAAAUUGUUGAAAGGGAAGCGCUUGCAGCCAGACUUGCUUACAGUUGCUCAUCCGGGUUUCUACCCGGUGCACUCUUCUGUAGGCAGGCCAGCAUCAGUUUGGGCGGUAGGAUAAAGGUCUCUGUCACGUACCUCCUUUCGGGGAGGCCUUAUAGGGGAGACGACAUACUACCA
rnacentral:rRNA from 1 species